UGGGGAAUAUUGCACAAUGGGCGCAAGCCUGAUGCAGCCAUGCCGCGUGUAUGAAGAAGGCCUUCGGGUUGUAAAGUACUUUCAGCGGGGAGGAAGGGAGUAAAGUUAAUACCUUUGCUCAUUGACGUUACCCGCAGAAGAAGCACCGGCCAACUCCGUGCCAGCAGCCGUGGUAAUACGGAGGGUGCAAGCGUUAAUCGGAAUUACUGGGCGUAAAGCGCACGCAGGCGGUUUGUUAAGUCAGAUGUGAAAUCCCCGGGCUCAACCUGGGAACUGCAUCUGAUACUGGCAAGCUUGAGUCUCGUAGAGGGGGGUAGAAUUCCAGGUGUAGCGGUGAAAUGCGUAGAGAUCUGGAAGAAUACCGGUGGCGAAGGCGGCCCCCUGGACGAAGACUGACGCUCAGGUGCGAAAGCGUGGGGAGCAAACAGG
rnacentral:rRNA from 1 species